rnacentral:rRNA from 1 species
UACGUAGGGUGCAAGCGUUGUCCGGAAUUAUUGGGCGUAAAGAGCUCGUAGGCGGUCUGUCGCGUCGGCUGUGAAAACCCGGGGCUCAACCCCGGGCCUGCAGUCGAUACGGGCAGACUAGAGUGCGAUAGGGGAGACUGGAAUUCCUGGUGUAGCGGUGAAAUGCGCAGAUAUCAGGAGGAACACCGGUGGCGAAGGCGGGUCUCUGGGCCGUAACUGACGCUGAGGAGCGAAAGCGUGGGGAGCGAACAGG